rnacentral:rRNA from 1 species
CGUGUAGGCGGCUGGAUAAGUCAGAUGUGAAAUCCCUGGGCUUAACCCAGGAAGUGCAUUUGAAACUGUUCAGCUUGAGUAAGGGAGAGGAAAGUGGAAUUCCUGGUGUAGAGGUGAAAUUCGUAGAUAUCAGGAGGAACACCGGUGGCGAAGGCGACUUUCUGGCCCUAUACUGACGCUGAGACGCGAGAGCGUGGGUAGCAAACAG